CCAGGAAUGAUCUCCAUUGAGGUAGUUAGAUUUAAUGCUGCACUGUGGAACUUUCAAGAUAAUGCAAGACCAUGUCCUUGGAGACAAUCACAGUUCUUGCUACAUUAAAUCACAAAACUGAGAAACAAAACACAAGUGGCAUUCUGAGACAUUUUUAGAGGAUUUUAAUCUUGUUCCAACCAUAAAAUAUACAUUUCUCAGAGACUCCUUUUUACAGUGUAGUCAGUGGUCUGUCAUUAAGCACGAGCUCCACCCCUUCCUAUCCACAUAUUCUAAAUAAUUCCCAGACUUUCAACACAUUUUCCCUGAUGUUUAGAUACGUGUUCAGACUCGCUGAUGCUCCAGAAGAUAACCAGCAGUGGGCAGUGGGUAUAUCGCCAAUGCUACAGUGGCACAGGUGAACCAGGAGGGGGCAGAGCGAAGUAUAUCACCAGAACUGCAGUGGCACAGGUGAAGCAGGAGGGGGCAGAGUGAAGUAUAUCACCAGAGGUCUGUGUAGACCCUCAGUGGUCCAGGUCUGAUCCAUAGCAAACAACAAAGUUAAGUCUUGUCAAUUGGACAAAUCUUCUAGGAGUGAAGACGUUUCGCUGCUCAUCCAAGCACUUCUUCAGUUCUGGUCAGAAUGCUGGUGGCCACUGCCUUUAAAUCUAUCUGAGGGGAGGGGCUAACCACACUGAAACUGUAAACAGCUAUUGUCUCCAGUUUCAGCUGAGACUAACCUAUUCAGCCCUUAACGACCCUGCUAUUGUUCUGGGUCUAAGGAUGGUGUUAUAGAUGGGGGAGAGAUUAUGUCUCAGGCCCUCAUUUCUGUUUAAGGAAGGAUUCUCUUUCCUAACAAAAAUAGCUUCUUUAACUCCUCUCUCAAACCAUUUAUUUUCUCUGGCUAAGAUCUGAACUUCACCAUCUUCAAAGGAGUGGUUAGUGGCUUUGAGAUGGAGAUGCAUGGUGGACUGAGGUCCAGAGGAACUCUCCCACAAAAGAGAAUUGUGAAUGCUGUGGGUGAAGUCCCAUUAACUUAGUCCACUUCUUUACAGUCUAUGGACAGAAGACAACCAGGUGGAGGCAAAGCAGAGUGGGACUAUAGAAUCACUAUAUCAAUAUGAACUAAAAGAAUACGUUUAGCACAAGCAGCACGUUUCCCUGUUUGCAUGUUGUCCUUGUGUCUGGAGGUUGGCUUUUCCCUCUCACUGGAAACAUGUAUCGUAUUUUCCGGACUAUGUCCGGACUUUGUCCAGGGGUGCAACUUAUACUCAGAUGCGACUUAUAUGUAAAGUUAUUCAAAUAAAUAAUUUCACAUCUUCGUUAUUGUCACACACUGACAACUGUACGAGGACACUCUAGGAUUGUGUAUCAGUAUCUACUACUCCUGUACAAGUGAACAUUUUAAAUUUCAACAUUGCGGUAAUUUAAAAUACAUCAGAGAAAGACCUAAAAGAAAAUCAUAUUCUGCUUCAUUUACUUCCGGAGCAGGCGGAGAAACUUGAUCAUUUUGAUAACAUUUUGCGGAACAUACCAGGCAAAACAAUAACAUCUCCAUGGAGAUGAGCACCCUCCAAUGCACCAGUAUCACUCACUGGGAGGCUUUUGCGAGUUUGUAGAAAAGUGAGGAAACAGGUCAAAUCGCAAAUGGAACAAUAACCAAAAAAAAAAAAAAAAAAAACCCACGAUCCUCCAAAAAUAUUACAAAUGUACAAUAUCGUAACAAAAUAUUAGCUGAAAAACAUAAAUGGCAGAAUGAAGUCGAAGUCAGAAAUCUAAUUGUAGUAUAAAAAAAGAACAAAAACUACCAUGAUAAAUAUUGGCUGCCAAAAAUAAUGUUCCAACUUUCGUGUACUGAAGGAUAUGUCAACAUAGUGAUUAUCGUGACAAGCAUACAUUCUCCCUGCCAAACCAGUGCUGCGGGUGGAAAGGGGUGUUACCUUCAACACUCUCGAGCUCGACUGGCUCUCGUGUUGCUAUGAGACCCGUGGUCAGAAUUCCAGAUUAGCCACUAUAACUGCUAGCGUCAAUGAGCUUUAUUUGACUGGAGCUGAAUGUAUCAUUCCCCCCAUCCACUUUAUACAGUCUGUGAUAACGACAUACACAGAGCAUCUAUCCAAAAGUACUGCACACUGAUAAACACUAAUCUAUGUAAUGACAGCACCAAACAUCACAAUCAGAGCUAAUGUUUCCUACAAUACUGCGUCUGAGAGCUCCACAGACCAGUUCAUAUCAUUUAUCUAGAGUUUAAAGGAGUAACUUUUCUGGGAGAGUCCACCACCUGCUUGUCCCCAUGGAGAUAUUAUUGUUUUUGCUUAGAUUCUAGAACUCUCCCUGUAGAUGUGUUUAAUGUCAUAUGGCGGGGCCUUCUCUGGGAUGCAAUAACAUUUCCAUAGAAACAUAUCGUGGACUCUCCAUUAGAACAGUUAUACAGUGCAGCUUCGUUGGGAGACAUGCAUUUUACUAAGGCACUGUACGAGUUAAAGUGCAUAUGUUUAUAUCAGCAUUAUGACGUCAGACUUCAGCACAACAAAUGGUUUAGAUAUAAAUGACAGAAGAAGGCCUAAACCAGGACUAAACCAGGGCUAAACCCGGACUAAAGCAGGACUAAAGCAGGACUAAAGCAGGACUAAAGCAGGACUAAAGCAGGACUAAAGUAGGACUAAAGCAGGACUAAAGCAGGACUAAAGCAGAACUAAACCAGGUCUAAAGUAGGACUAAGCCAGGUCUAAAGUAGGACUAAAGGAAGAUUAACAGAAGGAGAACUGAUUUUUACUCAGCUAUUUUUUAAGCAAUUUUUGAAGAAAAGUUGAAAAAUUGAAUUACUCUAUUUGAGAAAGUUCCACAUUAAUGACAUCACACUUGGAAAAUUCUGUGCAAAAUUUCAGCACAAUCUUUACCCAGAAUCACAUCUUUUGAUACUGAAGCAUUAUUUCAACAAAAUAAAUGUGUUUUCUUAUUUUAGUGUACUACACAGUGUGGUUGCUAGGUAACAGUUAAGGAAAACCCUAGUGUGGUGUCAAGAUUUCUAACCAGGAAGUAAAAUUUCAAACCUAAACAAUGGAUCAAUUGGGAGAAAAAAGUCAAAUCUUGAGUUAAAUUGUAAAUAUAAUGAUCUUAACUUUGUUUUAGUAGAAGUCCAACCUGCCAUAAGCAUUUUAAUAUGAUAAUUUGUGAAUAAUCUCAGAAAUAACUUCUUACCUUUGAUUUUGAGUUUUGAAGUUACUCAUGUGAAUAUUAAAUGUUUGUAAUUCAAGUGUUUUUCAACCAAUUUUGUGGACCUAAUUUUUUAUUGUUCUUGAGUCAAUAGUUUGUACAAUGGGACAUUAUAUACAGAAUUUCUACAGACGCAGAUUUAGUUUGGUAUUAAAUAACUUAUCUGGGCCAUUUUAGUCAAUUUCUGCACCAGUUUGGACUUAGCACAGUGAAAAAAAAACAAAACAAAAAAGCAAACAAAAAAAACAACAUUAUGACAACCUGCUGCUCCAUGUUCUGAGACUAGACCAGGACUUAACCUGGACUAGACAAGAACUAAACCAGGUCUUAGAGGGACUAUUACACUUGGGGUGGGGUGUGCCAACACUGCUAAUGUGUAGCAUAUUUAGAUCACCAUGUUACCCUUUAUUGUUUUAGGUACAUGUUGUUUUGGCAAUAUUUGCCAAAAACAACAUAUUCACAUGUUUUAUAAGUUUCACAUUUGUUUUUGACGCUCUGAGUCUCCCCUCCCGCUUUCCACUCUAAAUCACUCCCACUUCAUUUAACACGAUCAGUUGCAUCCCACUAAUCAAACUGCUGCACAUCACACCAAGUUUGUGAACUUGUAGUGUAUUGUUUUGUAUCAUGUUUUUGUAUAUUUAUGGAAAAUUGUUGUGUACUAGCAAGGGUGAUGUAGGCUUGUGGGCGGAGCCUUAAAGCAGCACUAAACUAGGACUAAAACAGGACUAAAGCAGAACUAGGACUAGAGCAGGACUAAAGCAGGACUAAAGCAGGACUAAAGCAGGACUAAAGCAGGACUAAAGCAGGACUAAAGCAGGACUAAAGCAGGACUAAAGCAGGACUAAAGCAGGACUAAAGACCCUCUGAUACUGCACAGUUUUGGGGGCAGGUGGUCAUAAUGUUAUUCUGUCAUUCUUAAAAACAAAAUUGACAAUCUGGUCUCUGAUUUGAGUCGGGAUCUAUCUGAUCUUGGGACUAUUGAUGACGUUUAAAAACACUCCACACAACGUAUUCCACUUCAUGACAUCACAAGGUGGAACAGAGCAUUUUGAGCUUUGGACAGACUACUUACUCAACCAUGUGUGAAUGAAACAAAACAACAUAAGGUAACAAUGUUCUAACAUUGUUUAAAGUUCACAAAAGUCAAUUUUUAACUAAAUAAAUUGUUGUUGUUAUUAGUGAAACAAUAACUAGGCUAUUGUACUGUUUAGUUUUGGCUCUUGUUAACAUUAUGGUUGUUAAGUAACAGUUAUGGUUGCUAAUUAACAGUUAUGGAACUCUACUAUGUGUGCGGCAGGUCCGACUAAUCUGCCAUAUGUACUGAACUACCACAGGAGACUGGCACCACGGCACAGACACAUAUCAACCCUAAAGCCAUUCUUAAAUUUAAAUUAUUUUAAAAGUAUUCACUUUAUCGUAAUCUGUAGCAGAGCAGGGGACAGGUCACAAUCUUUUGAACAAUAACACACAACUGAUAUGAGUGGCUUCUUCUUUUCACGGAUGGAUUUUGGUUUUAGCGUGAGGUAAUUCUGAGCUCCAAAACUCCUCUUAACCUGAAAAGUUCAUCAAAACAUUUCAUCAAACAUCCUCAAUGCAGCCAAUGUCCCAAGUGUCCAACCAAAUAAAAUGUCUCUCAACAAAAACAAAGAUUUAAGUCCCUUUGAGAAGAACGGUAGUAUCCAACGCCAAGAAAGAGUGAGAAGCAAAGGAUCAUGGGAAGUGUAGUACUGCUCGAGAAAAAUCAUCCAAAAGAGUUAGAAUCCAGUGUUUUAGGGGUUUAAAUGUUCGCGUCUCCCUCCACCCUGAGCAGCUGAUGAGCGGUGCAUCGUGGGUAACAUUGAGCAGUGCAUCACGGGUAAUGCAGUCCGUUCACAGCAGUGUGGUCAAGAGUGGGGAGACGUCAGUACAGGUCCAGCUUGUCCUAAACACAUGGAAGAGUUAGAGUUGAGUAAGUCAUGUGACACAUUCUGACCAAUGAAAAUCACUC
ensembl:lncRNA